rnacentral:tRNA from 1 species
UGGCUCAUUUGGUAGAGCAUGGUGUUUGCAAUGCCAGGGUUGUGGGUUUGAUUCCCAC